GAUGAACGCUAGCGGGAGGCCUAACACAUGCAAGCCGAGCGGUAGAGAGGAGCUUGCUUCUCUUGAGAGCGGCGGACGGGUGAGUAAUGCCUAGGAAUCUGCCUGGUAGUGGGGGAUAACGUUCGGAAACGGACGCUAAUACCGCAUACGUCCUACGGGAGCAAGUGGGGGAUCUUCGGACCUCACGCUAUCAGAUGAGCCUAGGUCGGAUUAGCUAGUUGGUGAGGUAAAGGAUCACCAAGGCGACGAUCCGUAACUGGUCUGAGAGGAUGAUCAGUCACACUGGAACUGAGACACGGUCCAGACUCCUACGGGAGGCAGCAGUGGGGAAUAUUGGACAAUGGGCGCAAGCCUGAUCCAGCCAUGCCGCGUGUGUGAAGAAGGUCUUCGGAUUGUAAAGCACUUUAAGUUGGGAGGAAGGUCAGUAGCUUAAUACGUUGCUGAUUUGACGUUACCGACAGAAUAAGCACCGGCUAACUCUGUGCCAGCAGCCGCAGUAACAC
rnacentral:rRNA from 1 species